CGGCGGUGCCAAUGUGUCCGCAGCCUACCCAUAUAAAAAAAAAAGUAGCUUCUCUUAUAAGAAUAAAAAGAGGCGUUCGUGGCCAGGGACACUAGGCACUCACUGCAGCCUGAGGGACGGAGGCUGGCUGGUAUUACGUUUUCCAUUCCGGCGCUGCGUCACAGCGUGUAGUAUUGUGAGUCUGUGGUGUGAUGGCGGGACGGGUCAGGGCGCUGCUGCAGUUGCGGGUGCGCGUUCCUCACCUACUCCACGCGAGAGGCCGCACUCAACGCACAGAACGCACUACACGAGAAACGCACUCUUCCUGGGGUGAGUACCGCCUUUCCCAACCUGUAAGAGGCUCCUUUGGGCUUCAUGUGUUCUCUCUCCGCUGCUUGCAUGUGUACGUGUUUCAGAAGCGUCGUUCAUCAAGGAUCGGCGUACAUCAGACUCAGGAAACAGGCUGCGUUUACAUUUUUUAUACUUGAUUUGUGGAAAGAUUUGGUUUAUCGCAGGCCGGCUCGUAUGUGGCGCCCCGUGAUAGCCUCGUCUCCGGCGUGGCUGAGGCGCCUUUGUCCCGCUCUUCUAUUGCCUUGGGCGCAUUGCUCCGGGGGGCAUCGUUCAUUGAAGUUUAAGUUUAAAGCCUUCCCGCGUUCUUUCAACUUAAAGGGUCAAGAAAGGAAGAAGCUGGAAACGCAUUUUUGGGACUUUGUUCAAAUACUGCUACUACUGAGUCCGCCUUCCUCUUUUUGACUACUACUACUACUACUACUAC